AGCCUUAAGAUUUUAUUUAAGGUGACGCCUGCCCAGUGCUUGUUGUAAAUGGCCGCAGUACCUUGACUGUGCUAAGGUAGCAAAAUCAUUUGGCUUUUAAUUGGAGUUGGGUAUGAAUGGAUUAAUGGGAUAGGAUUGUCUCUUUUAUGUUUUAUUGAAUUUCUUUAAUAGGUGAAAAUACCUAUAAUGUAGAAAAAAGACGAGAAGACCCUAGGAGUUUUUACUAGCAGCUAAAUAAUUAGCUGCCGUUUUUGUUGGGGCAACAUAGAAAUAUUUUUAACUUUCUUUAUUUAUUUGCCGACUUAGUAUAAGUGAGUAAACUACCCUAGGGAUAACAGCGUAAUUCUUUUAGAGCUUGCGACCUCGAUGUUGGACUAGGAAUUUGGUUGGCUAGCCGCCAAUUUAUAUGGUUCU
rnacentral:rRNA from 1 species